rnacentral:rRNA from 1 species
AGCAGCCGCGGUAAUUCCAGCUCCAAUAGCGUAUAUUAAAGUUGUUGCAGUUAAAAAGCUCGUAGUUGAAUUUCGGGAUCAAUAUGUUGGUCGUGCCUCGGUACGUACUAGCUUAUUGGUUUCUCCCUUCUGACGAACCAUGAUGUCAUUUAUUUGGUGUCGUGGGAAAUCAGGACUGUUACUUUGAAAAAAUUAGAGUGUUUAAAGCAGGCUCACGCUUGAAUACAUUAGCAUGGAAUAAUGAAAUAGGACGUUUGAUUCUAUUUUGUUGGUUUCUAGGAUCGACGUAAUGAUUAAUAGGGAUAGUUGGGGGCAUUAGUAUUCAAUUGUCAGAGGUGAAAUUCUUGGAUUUAUUGAAGACUGACUACUGCGAAAGCAUUUGCCAAGGAUGUUUUCAUUAAUCAAG